CCUACGGGAGGCAGCAGUGGGGAAUAUUGGACAAUGGGCGAAAGCCUGAUCCAGCAAUGCCGCGUGAGUGAUGAAGGCCUUAGGGUUGUAAAGCUCUUUUACCAGGGAUGAUAAUGACAGUACCUGGAGAAUAAGCUCCGGCUAACUCCGUGCCAGCAGCCGCGGUAAUACGGAGGGAGCUAGCGUUGUUCGGAAUUACUGGGCGUAAAGCGUGCGUAGGCGGCGAUUCAAGUCAGAGGUGAAAGCCUGGAGCUCAACUCCAGAACUGCCUUUGAAACUAGAUUGCUAGAAUCAUGGAGAGGUGAGUGGAAUUCCGAGUGUAGAGGUGAAAUUCGUAGAUAUUCGGAAGAACACCAGUGGCGAAGGCGGCUCACUGGACAUGUAUUGACGCUGAGGCACGAAAGCGUGGGGAGCAAACAGGAUUAGAUACCCUGGUAGUCCACGCCGUAAACGAUGAUAACUAGCUGCCAGGGCUCAUAGAGCUUUGGUGGCGCAGCGUACGACGAUAAGUUAGUCCGCCGUCGGGUAAGGUACGGUCGUUCGAGUAAGUUAAACGUUAACGAAGGAAGUUAGACGGCGUUGAGACGNGCGACGGACGACGACGAGGGAGGAGG
rnacentral:rRNA from 1 species